CCUACGGGAGGCAGCAGUGGGGAAUAUUGGGCAAUGGACGCAAGUCUGACCCAGCAACGCCGCGUGAAGGAAGAAGGCUUUCGGGUUGUAAACUUCUUUUAAGGGGGAAGAGCAGAAGACGGUACCCCUUGAAUAAGCCACGGCUAACUACGUGCCAGCAGCCGCGGUAAUACGUAGGUGGCAAGCGUUGUCCGGAUUUACUGGGUGUAAAGGGCGUGCAGCCGGAGAGACAAGUCAGAUGUGAAAUCAACGGGCUCAACCCGUGAACUGCAUUUGAAACUGUGUUUCUUGAGUGCUGGAGAGGCAAUCGGAAUUCCGGGUGUAGCGGUGAAAUGCGUAGAUAUACGGAGGAACACCAGUGGCGAAGGCGGAUUGCUGGACAGUAACUGACGCUGAGGCGCGAAAGCGUGGGGAGCAAACAGGAUUAGAUACCCUUGUAGUC
rnacentral:rRNA from 1 species